rnacentral:rRNA from 1 species
AGUGGGGAAUAUUGGACAAUGGGCGCAAGCCUGAUCCAGCCAUGCCGCGUGAGUGAUGAAGGCCUUAGGGUUGUAAAGCUCUUUCACCGGAGAAGAUAAUGACGGUAUCCGGAGAAGAAGCCCCGGCUAACUUCGUGCCAGCAGCCGCGGUAAUACGAAGGGGGCUAGCGUUGUUCGGAAUUACUGGGCGUAAAGCGCACGUAGGCGGAUAUUUAAGUCAGGGGUGAAAUCCCGGGGCUCAACCCCGGAACUGCCUUUGAUACUGGGUAUCUAGAGUAUGGAAGAGGUGAGUGGAAUUCCGAGUGUAGAGGUGAAAUUCGUAGAUAUUCGGAGGAACACCAGUGGCGAAGGCGGCUCACUGGUCCAUUACUGACGCUGAGGUGCGAAAGCGUGGGGAGCAAA